rnacentral:rRNA from 1 species
UACGUAGGGAGCAAGCGUUGUCCGGAAUCAUUGGGCGUAAAGAGCGCGUAGGUGGCUUUAUAAGUCCGUUGUGAAAGUCAAAGGCUCAACCUUUGAAAGCCGAUGGAUACUGUGAAGCUAGAGUACGGAAGAGGCGAGUGGAAUUCCUGGUGUAGCGGUGGAAUGCGCAGAUAGUCAGGAGGAACACCAAUAGCGAAGGCAGCUCGCUGGGACGUUACUGACACUGAGGCGCGAAAGCGUGGGGAGCGAACAGG